UACGGAAGGCAGCAGUGGGGAAUAUUGCACAAUGGGCGAAAGCCUGAUGCAGCUAUGCCGCGUGUAUGAAGAAGGCCUUAGGGUUGUAAAGUACUUUCAUCGGGGAGGAAAAACAAAACUAAUAAUUUUAUUUCUUGACGUUACCCGAAAAAGAAGCACCGGCUAACUCCGUGCCAGCAGCCGCGGUAAUACGGAGGGUGCUAGCGUUAAUCAGAAUUACUGGGCGUAAAGAGCACGUAGGUGGUUUUUUUAAAGUCAGAUGUGAAAUCCCUGGGCUUAACCUAGGAACUGCAUUUUGAAACUGAAAUACUAGAGUAUCGUAGAGGGAGGUAGAAUUCUAGGUGUAGCGGUGAAAUGCGUAGAUAUCUGGAGGAAUACCUGUGGCGAAAGCGGCCUCCUAAACGAAUACUGACACUGAGGUGCGAAAAGCGUGGGGAGCAAAACAGGGAUUAGAUACC
rnacentral:rRNA from 1 species